rnacentral:rRNA from 1 species
UUGCUCUUCAACGAGGAAUUCCUAGUAAGCGCGAGUCAUCAGCUCGCGUUGACUACGUCCCUGCCCUUUGUACACACCGCCCGUCGCUCCUACCGAUUGAAUGGUCCGGUGAAGUGUUCGGAUCGCGGCGACGUGGGCGGUUCGCCGCUGGCGACGUCGCGAGAAGUCCACUGAACCUUAUCAUUUAGAGGAAGGAGAAGUCGUGACAAGGUUUCCGUAGGUGAACCUGCGGAAGGAUCAUUGUCGAAACCUGCCCCGGCAGAACGACCCGUGAACCCGUGGCAUGACAAGCCGGGCUCGGGGGGCACCCGCCCCUCGCGUCCACGCGUGCCGUGGAGGGACGCAUCCGCGCCCGACGCGGCUCGCCAACGAACCCCGGCGCGAGAAGCGCCAAGGAAAUUGAGUACUAGGAGCACGCCCCCGUAGCCUCGGUGUCGGGGGCGCGCCUUCUUUCGUGAUAAUCUGAACGACUCUCGGCAACGGAUAUCUCGGCUCUCGCAUCGAUGAAGAACGUAGCGAAAUGCGAUACUUGGUGUGAAUUGCAGAAUCCCGUGAACCAUCGAGUCUUUGAACGCAAGUUGCGCCCGAGGCCUCCUGGUCGAGGGCACGUCUGCCUGGGUGUCACGCAUCGUCGCCCCCACCCCCCUCGGCUCACGAGGGCGGGGCGGAUACUGGUCUCCCGCGCGCUCCCGCCCGUGGUUGGCCUAAAAUCGAGUCCUCGGCGACGGUCGCCACGACAAGCGGUGGUUGAGAGACCCUCGGACACGGUCGUGCGCGUGCCCGUCGCCCCCUGGACCUCCCGGACCCCCGAGCAUUGGCUUUCAAGGAUGCUCUCGUUGCGACCCCAGGUCAGGCGGGACUACCCGCUGAGUUUAAGCAUAUCAAUANAGCGGAGGA